UGUCUGAGAGGACACUGGUGAUCAUCGAUCCAUUGGGGAACGAGGACAAAUAUGAGAGCAAAAUCUUGCGGAAUUGGAGGAACUUCUUGAGGUUGGCGGGCCGUGAGUUCCAAAUAGAAACUUGGACUACCAAAACUGUUCCCCAUAACAAGCAACAGGACAACAGUAGCUGUGGGGUUUUGGUAUUAAAGUUUGCGGAAGAGUAUAUGGCCAAUGGCGAUCUCAGGCACACCCAGACACACCUUCCCG